rnacentral:rRNA from 1 species
CAGUCGCCGCGGUAAUACGUAGGGUGCGAGCGUUAAUCGGAAUUACUGGGCGUAAAGCGUGCGCAGGCGGUUGUGUAAGACAGGUGUGAAAUCCCCGGGCUUAACCUGGGAACUGCGCUUGUGACUGCACAGCUAGAGUAUGGCAGAGGGGGGUGGAAUUCCACGUGUAGCAGUGAAAUGCGUAGAGAUGUGGAGGAACACCGAUGGCGAAGGCAGCCCCCUGGGCCAAUACUGACGCUCAUGCACGAAAGCGUGGGGAGCAAACAGGAUUAGAUACCCGUGUAGUCCCUGUCUCUUAUAC